AUUGAACGCUGGCGGCAUGCUUUACACAUGCAAGUCGGACGAGUGGCGAACGGGUGAGUAACGCAUCGGAACGUACCGCGUAAUGGGGGAUAACUGUCAGAAAGGACAGCUAAUACCGCAUAUUAUUCGAGCGGCCGAUGUCUGAUUAGCUGGUUGGCGGGGUAAAGGCCCACCCAGGCGACGAUCAGUAGCGGGUCUGAGAGGAAUAUCCGCAAACCUGGGACUGAGACACGGCCCAGACUCCUACGGGAGGCAGCAGUGGGAAAUUUUGGAAAAUGGGCGCAAGCCUGAGCCACGCAUGCCGCGUGGCUGAAGAAGGCCUUCGGGUUGGAAAGGACUUUUGUCAGGGAAGCGGUACCUGAAGAAGAAGCACCGGCUAACUACGUGCCAGCAGCCGCGGUAAUAC
rnacentral:rRNA from 1 species